rnacentral:lncRNA from 1 species
UACAUACAUAUAAAGUGGUACUUUGCUAUCUCCUUUUUAUGAAAGCUAGCUAUAGAGAAGCAACACCAUAAGUGUUUUACAUCAUUGCACAUUCUAUGUACAUGUUAGCAUCCACAUUUACUUGAAUAACUAAAAUGACUUGUGUUUGUUUCUUCCUUUCAAUGUCAUUGCUACAUGAAUUUGUCUCUCACCAUAUGCAAAAGGUAUGGUUAUGUUAUGUACCCUUCAAUUCUAAUCUCACCAUUAUCAUUUUUGUUUUCUACUACAUACACUAAUAUAUUAUAUUAUAAUAAAUAAAAUUGAAAAAAAAAGUAUUAUAUAAACAUAAUAUCAUGCUUUGUUUCCAAACAGACAAUUCGGCUGGUGAACUGAAGGACACUCGUAGCAGUACUAACUAGAAGCUCUAGAGUUCAAACUCACCAACAUCUCCUAUUAAAAAAAAAAAGCUACUUUAAAUCCAAUUAGGGUUUAAUUAAAUCAUAUGCAACACCAUGGUGUGUGUGUACACAUAAUUAGGUUAGGUAGCUUCUAGGUUAGUGUUUUUGUGUUGCUUUUACUUUUGGUUAAUUUUAGUAAUCAGUUGCAUUGGCAAAUAAGUAUAGGGUCUUGUUAACAUGUGCCCUUAGGGCACAUGUUAAGAUAUACCAAAAUAGAAAUUCAACAUUUAAUGAUAUAAGAAAUUUAAUGAUUCAAAAGUCAAAAUGCACAAAUUAGCAUUUAAUAAUUUCUAUUUUUGCUUCCUUAACAUGUGCCUUAAGGGCACAAGUUAACAUUUUCCAUAAGUAUAUUAUUUAAUGCUUUCUUAUCAACCUUUUAUUUCCAUCUAUUGAGUUUGAACUAGCUUAAAACAACUUUUUUAAUAUGUAUGAAGCUUAAUGAAACUUCUUUAUUUCAACAACCAACAUGAUUAGACAUGUGGACCUAAUUGUGAUCUCAAACAAACAUCAACUAGUGGAUUGAAGUGUUAAUGAUCAUGGUAGUAUAGAACUUACCAAAUUCAGUUUAUGUAUUGAUACAUAUUAAGAUAUAAAGUGAUGAAAAAUUGUGUGGUUAGUAGCAUUAAUCCAUUCAUUUAGCUUAUAAGGGAAAACUUAUAUAAGUAGAAAACUUCUAUAAUUGCUACUAUUACAAAUUUGUUAAACAAGACACAAAGUUACAAUAUAAAGAAAUAUUAUAGCUUGCUAGCAUGCAAUGAUAUAGUAAUUUUCACCAUGGAAAAAAAUUAUUGAAUC